rnacentral:rRNA from 1 species
AGAGUUUGAUCCUGGCUCAGGAUGAACGCUGGCGGUCUGCUUAACACAUGCAAGUCGAACGGAAUCUUUCGGGAUUUAGUGGCGGACGGGUGAGUAACGCGUGAGAAUCUGCCUUCAGGUUCGGGACAACAGUUGGAAACGGCUGCUAAUACCGGAUGUGCCGAGAGGUGAAAGCUUAAGUGCCUGGAGAUGAGCUCGCGUCUGAUUAGCUAGUAGGAGUGGUAACGGCACCCCUAGGCGACGAUCAGUAGCUGGUCUGAGAGGAUGAUCAGCCACACUGGGACUGAGACACGGCCCAGACUCCUACGGGAGGCAGCAGUGGGGAAUUUUCCGCAAUGGGCGCAAGCCUGACGGAGCAAGACCGCGUGAGGGAAGAAGGUCUGUGGAUUGUAAACCUCUUUUGAUCGGGAAGAAGACAGUGACGGUACCGAUCGAAUCAGCUCGAUGGG